rnacentral:rRNA from 1 species
UGCAAGUCGAACGGCAGCAUGAUCUAGCUUGCUAGAUUGAUGGCGAGUGGCGAACGGGUGAGUAAUACAUCGGAACGUGCCCUGUAGUGGGGGAUAACUAGUCGAAAGAUUAGCUAAUACCGCAUACGACCUGAGGGUGAAAGUGGGGGACCGCAAGGCCUCAUGCUAUAGGAGCGGCCGAUGUCUGAUUAGCUAGUUGGUGGGGUAAAGGCCCACCAAGGCGACGAUCAGUAGCUGGUCUGAGAGGACGAUCAGCCACACUGGGACUGAGACACGGCCCAGACUCCUACGGGAGGCAGCAGUGGGGAAUUUUGGACAAUGGGCGAAAGCCUGAUCCAGCAAUGCCGCGUGUGUGAAGAAGGCCUUCGGGUUGUAAAGCACUUUUGUCCGGAAAGAAAUGGCUCUGGUUAAUACCUGGGGUCGAUGACGGUACCGGAAGAAUAAGGACCGGCUAACUACGUGCCAGCAGCCGCGGUAAUACGUAGGGUCCAAGCGUUAAUCGGAAUUACUGGGCGUAAAGCGUGCGCAGGCGGUUGUGCAAGACCGAUGUGAAAUCCCCGAGCUUAACUUGGGAAUUGCAUUGGUGACUGCACGGCUAGAGUGUGUCAGAGGGGGGUAGAAUUCCACGUGUAGCAGUGAAAUGCGUAGAGAUGUGGAGGAAUACCGAUGGCGAAGGCAGCCCCCUGGGAUAACACUGACGCUCAUGCACGAAAGCGUGGGGAGCAAACAGGAUUAGAUACCCUGGUAGUCCACGCCCUAAACGAUGUCAACUAGUUGUUGGGGAUUCAUUUCCUUA